AGCCUCGCAUCCCUUCUCGAUCA
rnacentral:siRNA from 1 species